rnacentral:rRNA from 1 species
UACGUAGGGUGCGAGCGUUGUCCGGAAUUAUUGGGCGUAAAGAGCUCGGUAGGCGGUUUGUUGCGUCGGCUGUGAAAUCCCGAGGCUCAACCUCGGGUCUGCAGUCGAUACGAGCAAACUAGAGUGUUGCAGGGAGACUGGAAUUCCUGGUGAUAGCGGUGAAAUGCGUAGAUAUCGGAAGGAACACCGAUGGCGAAAGCAGCGUGCUGGACCUUUCUGACGCUGAGGCGCGAAAGCCAGGGGAGCAAAGCGGG